GCUUGCUAUUUUUAUGAAGAGCGGCGAACGGGUGAGUAACGCGUGGGAAAUCUGCCGAGUAGCGGGGGACAACGUUUGGAAACGAACGCUAAUACCGCAUAACAAUGAGAAUCGCAUGAUUCUUAUUUAAAAGAAGCAAUUGCUUCACUACUUGAUGAUCCCGCGUUGUAUUAGCUAGUUGGUAGUGUAAAGGACUACCAAGGCGAUGAUACAUAGCCGACCUGAGAGGGUGAUCGGCCACACUGGGACUGAGACACGGCCCAGACUCCUACGGGAGGCAGCAGUAGGGAAUCUUCGGCAAUGGGGGCAACCCUGACCGAGCAACGCCGCGUGAGUGAAGAAGGUUUUCGGAUCGUAAAACUCUGUUGUUAGAGAAGAACGUUAAGUAGAGUGGAAAAUACUUAAGUGACGGUAUCUAACCAGAAAGGGACGGCUAACUACGUGCCAGCAGCCGCGGUAAUACCGUAGGUCCCAAGCGUUGCCGGAUUUAUUGGGCGAAA
rnacentral:rRNA from 1 species